GGGACUGUAGCUCAGUGGUAGAGCAUUCGAUUGCAGAUUGAGAGGUCGAUGGUUCAAGUCCGCCCGCUCCCU
rnacentral:tRNA from 1 species